rnacentral:rRNA from 1 species
UACGUAGGGUGCAAGCGUUGAUCCGGAAUUAUUGGGCGUAAAGAGCUCGUAGGCGGUCUGUCGCGUCGGCUGUGAAAACCCGAGGCUCAACCUCGGGCCUGCAGUCGAUACGGGCAGACUAGAGUGUGGUAGGGGAGACUGGGAAUUCCUGGUGAUAGCGGUGAAAUGACGCAGAUAUCAGGAGGAACGACCGGCGGCGAAGGCGG